AGGGCAGGUCACACAAUCUUUGUGAAAACUGAUCCCGUGUGGGUAUUUUCUUAAGUUUAAACACAGAGCACACUCCAUCAUCUUGAGCCCUGCCGCAACGAAGAAAAUCCAUCUGUUGAAGUCAGUUUUUAUUCCCCCGUUGGGAACCGUACAUCAACAAAAGCUGCUCCAGAAUGAAUUCACUUACAGAAAGCUGACAACCAGACAGAACUUGGGAACUCCUGAGAAUUCAGACUGUGAUUUGCUCAUUCCGUCUCUCAUCAAACUGUCAGAUAAUGCCGGUCUUACAUUCAGUGCAUUCCUCAUCUCACCCAGCCUUUCAAGCAUAAGCCAGAAAAAUUCCUUGGCAGUUCUGAAAACUUGGGUAUGGAAAAUUCCAGAAGAGCACACAGGCCUCUCUCUCCUGGAGGGUUUAGUCUCCGGAAGGAAGUAGCCACACAACGCCAUGAGGUUUCUCCAGCUUUAUGAUUUCCUGGGUGGUGUGCUGAGGCCAGACGAGAGAAAGACAUGCGAGCCCCAUCCUCCCCACACAUCCGUGCCUUGAAUUUAGAGGAAAGACAUGGUCUCACCUGACGUUCGAACAUCCUGUGCUGCCGCUGGUUCGAAUCUAAGUCCUCUUCGGUGAGAGAGACCAAAGAGCCGGCUCGCUCCUCACUACUGAGAGGGCUGCACCUCAGCUGCUUGGGGCUUGUGGAGGUGGCCUCCAAAGCUGAAGACGACUUGUUGCUGUCAACACCGCCGGCCAGGCCUUCCAGGCUGAAACUGAAUGUAUAGUCAACCGACUUGAAUUCGUGCCCUUCUAGGAACCAGGAAUACCACACCAUUUAGUAAUCUCUUCAGUCCAGACUUGUACAUCAUCAUAAUUAGUUUACCAGCAACCAAAAUGGUUUUACUUCAAGUCAUCAAUCCAUCUCAUCAACUGGUAAAACUAGUAAAAUUGACUUUAUUACUCAUCUGUCCAAAAUGGAUUGUCUAAAAGCAAACCACUCUCAACAAGGACAUUGUAAAACAUUUUGUGGAUGCAACAAGAUAAGAAAAGAGAUCUGGGAUGGGACAUUUUACUGGUCUGCCAGAUCUGGUUUGAGCUUCAUUCUGGAAAUGUUUAAAUAAUUAAGGUUGGUGGACUGGUUAAGAGAAAAGAAUGUCAUCUGACUAGGGUUGAGUGUGUGAACUGAAGUCCCCAUAAAAAAAAAAUAAAAAAGAUCAGUCAAUUGGAAGCAAAACCAUUUGUUCUGUCCUUCACUUGUGGUCCUGGAAACUCACAACUUGG